GUAGGUGGCAAGCGUUGUCCGGGAAUUAUUGGGGCGUAAAGCGCGCGCAGGCGGUUCUUUAAGUCUGAUGUGAAAGCCCACGGGCUCAACCGUGGAGGGUCAUUGGAAACUGGAGAACUUGAGUACAGAAGAGGAAAGCGGAAUUCCACGUGUAGCGGUGAAAUGCGUAGAGAUGUGGAGGAACACCAGUGGCGAAGGCGGCUUUCUGGUCUGUAACUGACGCUGAGGCGCGAAAGCGUGGGGAGCAAACAGGAUUAGAUACCCUGGUAGUCCACGCCGUAAGCGAUGAGUGCUAAGUGUUAGGGGGUUUCCGCCCCUUAGUGCUGCAGCUAACGCAUUAAGCACUCCGCCUGGGGAGUACGGCCGCAAAGGCUGA
rnacentral:rRNA from 1 species